UACGUAAGUGGCAAGCGUUGUCCGGAAUCACUGGGUGUAAAGCGCAUGUAGGCGGUUUUGUAAGUCUGGGGUGAAAUCCAUUGGCUCAACCAAUGAACGGCCCUGGAAACUGCAGAACUUGAGGUUCAGAGGGGAAAGUGGAAUUUCGGGUGUAGCGGUGAAAUGCGUAGAUAUCCGAGAGAACACCAAUGGCGAAGGCAGCUUUCUGGCUGAAUCCUGACGCUGAGAUGCGAAAGCUAGGGUAGCGAACGGG
rnacentral:rRNA from 1 species